UGAUCUCCUUCAUCCUGCUGCACUGAAUCCAGCAGCUCUUCAAAUUCACAUCUACAAUCAGACACACUGCACUGAAUAUAGAGCUUGUACUUUCUCUGUACUGUACAUCUUUUGUGUCCUGGUUUUUAUUUCUGUAAGAAGCAUGACAAGAAAUAUUAAAAAUGACUGCAGAAACAAGGAUCCCAUGUUAAAACUGGGUAAAAGAGCGACUGAUUUAUUAAACGGAAACUUUUUGAUUAAGCUGUGCUGCCACUACAACAGCAAUAAACUUGAGGCUGAGGAAGUCCUGGGCAGUACUUGUUUUCAGCACCAGCAAAUCUAAAAAGAAUGUCCAUAUACAGCGCCGUAUGUCUU